AGAAACUUAGGAUAAUUGCCAUAAACCGAAGGCCUUCAAAGCCUUAAAUAAGAGUUAAACCCUCUUAGUUUCUG
rnacentral:tRNA from 1 species